GUGAAUCAUCAAAUCUUUGAACGCAAAUUGCACUCUCUGGUAUUCCGGAGAGUAUGCCUGUUUGAGGGUCAGUUUAACUAAAAAUCCGUGUGGUUGCUGCCUUUCGUGUUGACGCACCGGUUUUGCGUCGUUUAGCCUUCGGUUAUGUGCCCUAAAAUUUUGCAUGAUUUUUUUCGAUCGUAUUUAAAUGAUUUUACGUACCUUUGCGAUA
rnacentral:misc_RNA from 1 species